rnacentral:rRNA from 3 species
GGACUACCGGGGUUUCUAAUCCCGUUUGCUCCCCUAGCUUUCGCGCCUCAGCGUCAGAAGAGGGCCAGCACGUCGCUUUCGCCACCGGCGUUCCUUCCGAUAUCAACGCAUUUCACCGCUCCACCGGAAGUUCCACAUGCCCCUACCUCCCUCGAGUUCACCAGUAUCCAAGGCACUUUUCCGGUUGAGCCGAAAGAUUUCACCCCGGACUUGGUAAACCGCCUACGCGCCCUUUAAGCCCAGUGAAUCCGAAUAACGUUAGGACGGUUCGUCUUACCGCGGCGGCUGGCAC